AUUGAACGCUGGCGGCAGGCUUAACACAUGCAAGUCGAGCGGGCGAGGUUGCUUCGGUAACUGAGCUAGCGGCGGACGGGUGAGUAAUGCUUAGGAAUCUGCCUAUUAGUGGGGGACAACAUUCCGAAAGGGAUGCUAAUACCGCAUACGUCCUACGGGAGAAAGCAGGGGAUCAUUUGACCUUGCGCUAAUAGAUGAGCCUAAGUCGGAUUAGCUAGUUGGUGGGGUAAAGGCCUACCAAGGCGACGAUCUGUAGCGGGUCUGAGAGGAUGAUCCGCCACACUGGGACUGAGACACGGCCCAGACUCCUACGGGAGGCAGCAGUGGGGAAUAUUGGACAAUGGGGGGAACCCUGAUCCAGCCAUGCCGCGUGUGUGAAGAAGGCCUUUUGGUUGUAAAGCACUUUAAGUGGGGAGGAGGCUUACCUGGUUAAUACCUGGGCUAAGUGGACGUUACCCACAGAAUAAGCACCGGCUAACUCUGUGCCAGCAGCCGCCGUAA
rnacentral:rRNA from 1 species